rnacentral:rRNA from 1 species
GGUGGAUGCCUUGGCAGUCAGAGGCGAUGAAAGACGUAGUAACUUGCGAUAAGCCCAGAUUAGGUAGUAACAACCAUUUGAGUCUGGGAUUUCCGAAUGGGGAAACCCACUUACAUAAGUAAGUAUCGCUGCGUGAAUACAUAGCGCAGCGAGGCGAACCGGGGGAACUGAAACAUCUAAGUACCCCGAGGAAAAGAAAUCAACCGAGAUUCCGAAAGUAGCGGCGAGCGAAAUUGGACUAGCCCUUAAGCUUUACACGCGUUAGA